UGAAGAACAAAUUGAGUGUGCAGCUCUCACUGAAGAACAAAGACGAUUUUCACAACGCCUUCUACCAUUGACUUGUACUGAUGAGCGCCCCUAUUUAAGUAGGUGUUCGGGCGCAUUACUUGUGCGAUCUAUGCCGAUGAGAAAGGAUGGCGAUGUUCAGGCAGCGCCUUCUACCGUUUGACUUGUCCUGAUGAGUGCCCCACUGAUAAUAGAUGUUCGAGCGAAGUACUUGUGCAAUCUAUGCCGAUGAGAAAGGAUGACGAUGUUCAUGUAGUAUGUUGUUUCUAUUAUUUUCCAUAAUAACUCCACGUUCUUGAUUUUCUAUAGGCUCGCUCUUCAAUACCCUAUCUUUUUGGAAGUUUUAAAGCCCUAAAAAUGGAAAUUAGAAUUAGCUGCUAGCUCUACAUAAUAUCAUCAAGGUGAAACCAUCAAAGAAGAGAAUCAUAUGUACAGUCUUAUCAAAGGGGAAAAAGAAGAUGAUAAUAAUAUGAAGGGCGAGGAUCGGAUUACUUUGUGAUCCUAUUUUUGAUCAAUCUGAGGAUCAGAUUGCUUGUGAAGGGUCGGACUUCUUGACUACAUGAUCAACAAAUACAACAGAGAAUCUCAAUAAAUUUCAAUAUGUUUUACGGUACAGGUUGAUCAUGCAAAGUCGUCAACAAAGUUUGUUAUUCUAUGACUCUCGAGUCUAGAGUAAGUUCUUUUUUACCGAAUUUACAAUUAAAAGU